AAGUAGUGAAUGAUAAAUAAAUCAAAAGAGAUUUAAUAACAUGAAUCAUCAUGAUGCAAUACUGUGUACGCACUGAAAUUUAGUUCUCCAGUCUUGAAGGAUGCAACAACCUAAGAAACGUCCCACGGAAAGCAUGUUUCAUAGGGAGGUAAGUUACUCAGAUCUAUUCAACUGGCAAGUUUAAAGGCAUCAAUGAAGAGACCAUACGUAAAACCCAUCUUGAAAUUGUUUAGCAGGGCAAGAGGGAAAGUGACCUUUGGCCGACUGUAAUAGAAUCUUGUCACAUACUCCGUGAUUAGAACACAUAAAACAGCAGCAAUUACAUCAUUAACACCUAAAGCUCCAAAAGAUAGAGAUAUUGUUUGUGCCACGUAAAAGCCACCCAACAAAGAUAUACCUCCAAAAAGGGCCCUCCGGGAAGGACUUCUGAAGUAAUUCCUUGAUAUAUCUGGUACAAUUCGUAUAAUAUCAACCAAUCGUCGGGGACCUUCAUUCUCUUGGACCGCUCGUAUUCUAAAUGAUCCAGAUGAUCCUGAAAUGCGUUUUACCCAUCUACCAUGGCAAAUAGCUGUGCUCGGAAUUAAACCAUAAUUGAGGAGACCCAAAGAACUUAAGGCAACAGAGUUUGCCAUUUGGAAUGAAUAUUUAGUAAUCAACAUGAAUUCUCUGGAAGAAUGAAUGGUGAUGGAUUUUUUAGCAACUGCACACUAACAAAAAUUAAAUUGAGUUAAACCAUAGUAACCUGGGAGACAAACGAUCCCCCACACCCUCCCCCACCAACCAUACCAAAAAAAGAAAGUUGCAGAAGAGACGCUAAAAUGAACAGACUAAGGUGAGAAAUGAACUUGAACGGAGACAAUUUCUUCCCAUUUCCAGACAAAGUAACAUUGAAAGGUCAUCUCAUCCACUUUUCCAAUUAGCAUGUUUGUUUGUGCUUAAAAGUAAAUAAAACUCGUUUUUAAGUUACUUAUUUGGCCAAAAUCGAUCUUCAAUGUUGCUUUUCUACUAACAAAACUUUCCAAACAUGCUCAGAUUUCAUUUUACACGUAUCGUAUCGUAUCAAUUCUAAUUCCACUCACUGCCCCGGAUUUACUAUACUGGUAGAAGAAAUUUAAGUUUUAACGAAAUAGAAAAUGCAACUGAACUUGAAACAGAAUGCAAGUAAACACCACCCAGUGACUGCAACUGGGAUGCAUCACCAAAAAUAAAAUAGAAGCGGAGUCCUUUCUUCAAAUUGUUCGUCUGAUAUUGAUAUUACAGCCAGAAUUACCAGAAUAAAUUUCCUGUAAAACACACGUUCUGCUGUGAGACCUGUAAGGCUUAACCAAGAGUAGACCAGAACAGGUAAGAAUUUAGAAGUAUAAAUGGAAAUAAAACUCUUGAGCCUGUGCACUUUAGGGUCCUUGUUCAUAUUUGACAGAGAUUAAAGUUGUGAAAACUCCUGGAUAGGUGAAUCCUUUCUAGUUAGAGAAUCUUUUUCUAGCUGCUUUGGAAGAAACAUGGAUUAUUCAGGUAUUCAUGUAUGGAAACCACUGUAAACAACUAACAUAGGCUUCCACAGUCACUUGGUGAUUUUGGAAAAAGAGGUGCCAGUUAAUUUUUGUAGAAACCUAGCCUUGAAAACAUUGCUACACAUGGAAGACCUUCCCUGUAGAUACUAGAAUUACCAUCAAGUAAAACAAACACAUACGGCACUACAUCAAGGAAAAUUCUAAACAAACAGGCCCCUGUGACAGGAGCCUAUUUGCCCCCUCCCUCCCUCCAAUAGGGGGGCGCCGAUUCACAGGGCCUGUCACGCCCCUGUCACAGUAGCCCAACCCCUACAUCAAUUUGUUAAAAUCAUAGCCAGCAACAGGCUUCAACAGUUCAAUAUAACAGCUUUCUUUUUUAUUUCUUUUUCGUUUUAUUUGCAGGAUUCAGGUGAAGAGGGACCGAAGUGGAUAGUUACAAAGUAAAGCAGCCAUGAGCACACCAAAUAUUACAAGAAAAUGUAAUUUAACAAAGUUGUGAUUGUAGAAGUUCUGUAUUACACCAGUGCAAUAAACUUCUGAUACAAGACAUGGUUUUUUUCUCAGCACUUGGAGAAAAAGCUUCUAAAAUCUAAUUCCUUCUUUCUUACCCUUGAGAAAUACGAAGAGAAUGGGGAACUAUAUAGACUUAUAAUAUUGACGAGUGCACCAAGUAGUGAAUGAUAAAUAAAUCAAAAGAGAUUUAAUAACAUGAAUCAUCAUGAUGCAAUACUGUGUACGCACUGAAAUUUAGUUCUCCAGUCUUGAAGGAUGCAACAACCUAAGAAACGUCCCACGGAAAGCAUGUUUCAUAGGGAGGUAAGUUACUCAGAUCUAUUCAACUGGCAAGUUUAAAGGCAUCAAUGAAGAGACCAUACGUAAAACCCAUCUUGAAAUUGUUUAGCAGGGCAAGAGGGAAAGUGACCUUUGGCCGACUGUAAUAGAAUCUUGUCACAUACUCCGUGA
rnacentral:lncRNA from 1 species